CUGGCGGCGCGUUUAAGCAUGCAAGUCGAGCGGCAGGGGGGCCUCGGUCCCCCGAGAGGCGGCGGACGGGUGAGUAACACGUGGACAACCUGCCCCCCGGUUCGGGAUAGGCCCAGGGAACCUGGAUCAAUACCGGAUGCGAGGGCGGCCGCACAAGCGGCCGUCGGGAAAGGCGCUUCGGCGCCGCCGGGGGAUGGGUCCCGCGUCCCAUUAGCUAGACGGUGGGUAACGGCCCACCGUGGCGAUGAUGGGUAGCCCGGCCUGAGAGGGUGGACGGCCACAUUGGAACUGAGACACGGUCCAGACUCCUACGGGAGGCAGCAGCUAAGAAUCUUCCGCAAUGGGCGAAAGCCUGACGGAGCGACGCCGCCGUGAACGAAGAAGGCCGUGAAGGUUGUAAAGUUCUUUUCGGGAGGGGGGAACGAGGCUGCCAGGCAAUGGGCGGCCGAUGACGUGAAUCCCGGAAUAAGCCCCGGCUAACUACGUGCCAGCAGCUGC
rnacentral:rRNA from 1 species